CUACGGGAGGCAGCAGUGGGGAAUAUUGCGCAAUGGGGGAAACCCUGACGCAGCAACGCCGCGUGAAGGAUGAAGGUUUUCGGAUUGUAAACUUCUUUAGUCGGGGACGAAUAAUGACGGUACCCGAAGAAUAAGCCACGGCUAACUACGUGCCAGCAGCCGCGGUAAUACGUAGGUGGCAAGCGUUGUCCGGAAUUACUGGGUGUAAAGGGCGUGUAGGCGGGAAUGUAAGUCAGAUGUGAAAUUCCGGGGCUCAACCCCGGCGCUGCAUCUGAAACUAUGUUUCUUGAGUGCUGGAGAGGAAAGCGGAAUUCCUAGUGUAGCGGUGAAAUGCGUAGAUAUUAGGAGGAACACCAGUGGCGAAGGCGGCUUUCUGGACAGUAACUGACGCUGAGGCGCGAAAGCGUGGGGAGCAAACAGGAUUAGAUACCCCCGUAGUCCC
rnacentral:rRNA from 1 species